rnacentral:rRNA from 1 species
UACGUAGGGGGCAAGCGUUGUCCGGAUUUACUGGGCGUAAAGGGCUCGUAGGCGGCCAACUAAGUCAUACGUGAAAUCCCUCGGCUUAACCGGGGAACUGCGUCUGAUACUGGAUGGCUUGAGUUCGGGAGAGGGAUGCGGAAUUCCAGGUGUAGCGGUGAAAUGCGUAGAUAUCUGGAGGAACACCGGUGGCGAAGGCGGCAUCCUGGACCGAUACUGACGCUGAGGAGCGAAAGCCAGGGGAGCAAACGGG